CUACGGGACGCUGCAGUGGGGAAUAUUGCACAAUGGAGGAAACUCUGAUGCAGCAACGCCGCGUGGAGGAUGACACUUUUCGGAGCGUAAACUCCUUUUAUAUAGGAAGAAGAUGACGGUACUAUAUGAAUAAGCGCCGGCUAACUCCGUGCCAGCAGCCGCGGUAAUACGGAGGGCGCAAGCGUUACUCGGAAUCACUGGGCGUAAAGAGCGUGUAGGCGGAUUAAAAAGUCAGAAGUGAAAUCCUAUAGCUUAACUAUAGAACUGCUUCUGAAACUCUUAAUCUAGAAUAUGGGAGAGGUAGAUGGAAUUGCUGGUGUAGGGGUAAAAUCCGUAGAGAUCAGAAGGAAUACCGAUUGCGAAGGCGAUCUACUAGAACAUUAUUGACGCUGAGACGCGAAAGCGUGGGGAGCAAACAGGAUUAGAUACCCGAGUAGUC
rnacentral:rRNA from 1 species